rnacentral:rRNA from 1 species
UAUCCUAAGCGGAGGAAAAGAACUAACAAGGAUUCCCUUAGUAACGGCGAGUGAACAGGGAAGAGCCCAGCACCGAAGCCUGUGGCCAUUUGGUCUCUAGGCAAUGUGGUGUUUAGGUCAUCUCGCAGAGACACUGUCCCACUCUAAGUCCAGCAAUGAGAACGGCAAUUUGGACUUGGCCCAAAGAGGGUGAAAGGCCCGUGAGGGUGGGAAUCAGGAUGGCCAGUGUCUCUCUGAGUAGACCUUGGAGUCGGGUUGUUUGUGAAUGCAGCCCAAAGCGGGUGGUAAACUCCAUCCAAGGCUAAAUACUAACACGAGUCCGAUAGCGAACAAGUACCGUGAGGGAAAGUUGAAAAGUACUUUGAAGAGAGAGUAAACAGUGCGUGAAACCGCUCAGAGGUAAACAGGUGGAGUUGAACUGCAAGCUUUGAGAAUUUAACUGGUGAGUGUGGCAUGGGCUUGGAUAUGCUGGUUGGCCUUUGGAGUCUGCUUAGCUGCAGGUCCUGCCUUUUGGGGUGGGAUGCAUGAUGCACUUAUCAAGUGUUGUGCGCUUCGGGGGUACAUCGGACCUGCUCGCCAGUGCAUUUUCUCAGAGUGUUCACCACGACCGGCGCUGCUGUCUGUCUACUAUUGUUAAACCGGGUGUGUAUCGUCCUUGCGGCUUUGCAUAUUCGGGACGGCAGGUAGCCCGAUUUUGCUUGUCAAUGUCGGGUGUAAUCAGCUGACUGUAGUAGUACUGUGCAGUGCGCCGGAGAUGGCGGCUUGUGGUGCAUACAUGCGUGCCUGUUUGAUUGGCGGCUUUGGGUCUGGUUGUCAUGAGCCUGUAAAAGCAGGCCUGAUAAUGGCACAGAGUCGUUCGGUCGACGGUUGCGUGUGGAGUACUUUAAUGGGCCUAUAGUCUGUGGUGUAGUGGUAAACGAUCACCUGA